GAUUUUAGAGUUUAAUUGGGAGUACAAGUUGGUAAAACAUUCGGUAUUCCAGUUACAGUUACGGAAAAAAGUUGUUUGUACUAUCAACGCUUAAUUACCUUAAAGUGUUGGGAACGCCCUCCUGCAGCAGCUACAGGGAUAAAGAUACAGAGAGUGAGAGGUCUGCAAAGUUAUGCAUAAUGUGGACACAGCACAGCGAGGAGAUGCCAAAGGACGAAGGACCAAAACCAGAAGCAGGACCAACAGAAGCUUAGGAAUUAUGUCUUAUUAUUUUGCCUGCAGCCUGUGGACGAGGCGAAGAACAAUGGCAAAUCACACAGCCAGGACCAAAAGCAGGACUCUAGGACUCUAAAGCCGGCAAUCGGGUUGUUGUCCUGGCACUGCACCAAAGUCGCAAUCUCAACGCCUCCAUUCUGUCUCUCUGCCUGACUUGUCUUUAAUGUCUUUAUGCUUCGGCCAAAUGUUGGCUGCUCCAUAGAAUCGCCACACAGAGAAAAACAUUGGAGCAGUACGUACUAGGUAAAAAGAUAAUCGUCUUAUUUCGGAUUAAGAUAUUUUUAAAUGUUCUAUAUGUAAUGAUAUAAAAUUCAAAGAUUUUGUAAUAAUUUAACUCGCACAUGAGUCGAA